CAUGCAAGUCGAGCGGUAAGGCCUUUCGGGGUACACGAGCGGCGAACGGGUGAGUAACACGUGGGUGAUCUGCCCUGCACUCUGGGAUAAGCUUGGGAAACUGGGUCUAAUACCGGAUAUGACYRCAKSSCGCAUGKKKUGUGGUGGAAAGAUUUAUCGGUGCAGGAUGGGCCCGCGGCCUAUCAGCUUGUUGGUGGGGUAAUGGCCUACCAAGGCGACGACGGGUAGCCGACCUGAGAGGGUGACCGGCCACACUGGGACUGAGACACGGCCCAGACUCCUACGGGAGGCAGCAGUGGGGAAUAUUGCACAAUGGGCGGAAGCCUGAUGCAGCGACGCCGCGUGAGGGAUGAAGGCCUUCGGGUUGUAAACCUCUUUCAGCAGGGACGAAGCGUGAGUGACGGUACCUGCAGAAGAAGCACCGGCUAACUACGUGCCAGCAGCCGCGGUAAUACGUAGGGUGCGAGCGUUGUCCGGAAUUACUGGGCGUAAAGAGUUCGUAGGCGGUUUGUCGCGUCGUUUGUGAAAACCCGGGGCUCAACUUCGGGCUUGCAGGCGAUACGGGCAGACUUGAGUGUUUCAGGGGAGACUGGAAUUCCUGGUGUAGCGGUGAAAUGCGCAGAUAUCAGGAGGAACACCGGUGGCGAAGGCGGGUCUCUAGGAAACAACUGACGCUGAGGAACGAAAGCGUGGGUAGCAAACAGGAUUAGAUACCCUGGUAGUCCACGCCGUAAACGGUGGGCGCUAGGUGUGGGUUCCUUCCACGGGAUCUGUGCCGUAGCUAACGCAUUAAGCGCCCCGCCUGGGGAGUACGGCCGCAAGGCUAAAACUCAAAGGAAUUGACGGGGGCCCGCACAAGCGGCGGAGCAUGUGGAUUAAUUCGAUGCAACGCGAAGAACCUUACCUGGGUUUGACAUACACCGGAAAACCGUAGAGAUACGGUCCCCCUUGUGGUCGGGUACAGGUGGUGCAUGGCGUCGUCAGCUCGUGUCGUGAGAUGUGGGUAAGUCCCGCAACGAGCGCAACCCUUGUCUUAUGUUGCCAGCGCGUUAUGGCGGGGACUCGUAAGAGACUGCCGGGGUCAACUCGGAGGAAGGUGGGGACGACGUCAAGUCAUCAUGCCCCUUAUGUCCAGGGCUUCACACAUGCUACAAUGGCCAGUACAGAGGGCUGCGAGACCGUGAGGUGGAGCGAAUCCCCUAAAGCUGGUCUCAGUUCGGAUCGGGGUCUGCAACUCGACCCCGUGAAGUCGGAGUCGCUAGUAAUCGCAGAUCAGCAACGCUGCGGUGAAUACGUUCCCGGGCCUUGUACACACCGCCCGUCACGUCAUGAAAGUCGGUAACACCCGAAGCCGGUGGCCUAACCCCUCGUGGGAGGGAGCCGUCGAAGGUGGGAUCGGCGAUGGGA
rnacentral:rRNA from 1 species